rnacentral:rRNA from 1 species
UACAGAGGUCCCGAGCGUUGUUCGGAUUUAUUGGGCGUAAAGGGUGCGUAGGCGGCGGAGUAAGUUGGGUGUGAAAUCCCGGGGCUCAACCUCGGAAUUGCAUUCAAUACUGCUUCGCUCGAGUACUGGAGAGGAGGCUGGAAUUUACGGUGUAGCAGUGAAAUGCGUAGAGAUCGUAAGGAAGACCAGUGGCGAAGGCGGGUCUCUGGAAAGUUCCUGACACUGAGGCACGAAGGCCAGGGGAGCAAACGGG